CUCGCUCCCCAUGACGCCCAGUGCUGGGCUCCUUCGCCAUGGCGUGGCUGCGCCUACCACAUCCUGGCACCUCUACCCUAUCGUGACUCCAGUGUCCCCCGACUGUGCCCCUUGCUGGGAUGCCCCGCAGAACAGUCUGAGGCCAGCGGAGCAGCAGGGCCACGGCGGCCCCAGCCACCCGCCCAGCGCACCCAGCUCCGCCCGCGCCCGUCCCCACCCAGAAGCUGACUGCGGGCCACGGGCCACCGGGCUCAGGCUCUGCCUCGCGGCGCGUUCGGGGACCUCCCAAGGCCCUCGGCCCGGCGCCUCUCCCUGCAGGUGACCAGAGAACCAGGUCGCGGCGGGAAACCGUGGGAGUGAAACGCUUGAUGGCUGAGUUGAGGUUACUUCAUGGAUCCCGCCCAGCCCCCAGGGAGGUGGGCAAAGGACAAGACCAGGCGACCUGCAGAAGAAGAAAGCUGAGUAGCCACAAACCCGUGGCAAGAUGCUCAGUCUCAACCUUAGCAAGGGAGAUGCAAG
ensembl:lncRNA